GUCUCUCUGGGACAUGCAAUAAAAUUGGAACAAUAUAGAGAAGAUCAGGUUGGCCUCUCUGCAUGGAUGAUAUGCCCAAAUCAAGAAAUGAUUUAAAUUUUU
rnacentral:snRNA from 1 species